rnacentral:lncRNA from 1 species
CUUGACGGUUUUCCCAAACUAUGACUUAAGGGAACGAGGAAAAGACUGGAAAGACUGUAUUUCUGCUGUUAGUUUUAUGAUAGAGAGUUUGUAUACAGAAGCAGAAAUACCCGCAAAUAGAAAUGUCAGUGUGCCCAUGUCCACAAACUGGUGUGCCGGAAUCAAUAAUGAUGCGGGUGAGGGCCCUUCUCAGUGGCUUCAGGAUGUCAGGGAGUCCGUAAGAAGAGAAAGAGUGGAUUUUGAACAUAUUCCUGAGGGCAAUGGUAAUGCAGCCAUCCAUCCUGACCAAUUGGGUGAGUUUUCGAA